rnacentral:sRNA from 12 species
AGAUGUGCUCGUAGAGUAACGAAGCAGGGUAAUCAAAAGAAAUACUCAUAUAAGA